rnacentral:rRNA from 1 species
CACGUAGGGUGCGAGCGUUGUCCGGAAUUAUUGGGCGUAAAGGGCUCGUAGGCGGUCUGUCACGUCGAAAGUGAAAACUCAGGGCUUAACCCUGAGCCUGCUUCCGAUACGGGCAGACUAGAGGUAGCAGGGGAGAACGGAAUUCCUGGUGUAGCGGUGAAAUGCGCAGAUAUCAGGAAGAACACCCGUGGCGAAAGCGGCUCUCUGGAACGGUACUGACGCUGAGACGCGAAAGCGUGGGGAGCGAACAGG